UUGUGUGUGUUGUAGUAUUCUUUUUGCCAUUGAGAACGAGGUGGCUAGCCGCUAGCGGCGCUAGCUUCCAGCUAGCAGUACCUGCCAAAGCGCAUUUGUGACUACCAACAAAGAUGGGACAUAAGUGAGAUGCCUCACUCUGUAGCUAAAACAAAGACCUUAACACACAGUGUGAAAACAGGUUCAGCAGCAAUGUGCGGUACAACAAAAAUAUGGUGUUUUUUGAAAAUUAAACCAUGUAAACCUAUUCUGGUACAACCUCUUUAUACCAUUAUGAACCUGAAAAUGAGCAUCACAUGGGCGCUUUAAGUA